rnacentral:rRNA from 1 species
GACGAACGCUGGCGGCGUGCUUAACACAUGCAAGUCGAACGGAAAGGCCCGGCUUUUGUUGGUUUCUCGAGUGGCGAAGAGGGGAGUAACACGUGAGUAACCUGCCCUUAACUUUGGGGUAACUUCAGGGAACUGGGGCUAAUACCGGGGAUGAUCUCCUGCUGCAUGUGGGUGGUUGGAAAAUUUCGGCGGUUGGGGAUGGUAUGGCUGGUUAUCCGCUUGAUGGGCGGGUAGGUGCUUUACAAGGAUUUGACGGGUAGCCUGCCUGAGAGGGUGAACGGCCACAUUGCGACUGCGAUAGGGAGCAGACUCCAACGGGAGGCAACAGUGGGGAAUAUUGCACAAUGGGCGGAAGCCUGAUGCAGCAACGCCGCGUGCGGGAUGACGGGUUUUGGGUUGUAAACAGAUUUCGAAGGUGACGAAGAGUGAGUGACGGUAAUGGGUAAAGAAGCCACGGCUAACUACGUG